GCCCCUGUCCCUCCAGCGGGUAGAAACUCUGUAUACAUCCUCCUGGAAGUUGGAUUGUAUAUACCUGGUGGUUUACCCUUGGCAAACAGCCCAGUUCCCACCCAGCCAGCAAUCCAAUCCUAACAUUUAAAGGGACAGAGAGAGAAAAUGAGAAAAUUUAUGCACUGAGAUAACGGUGAGUAAAUUGUUUACCAACUAUGGACACAAAGCAGAACUGAUUCCACUUGGAAAAAUCAAU
rnacentral:lncRNA from 1 species